UGAAAAUGAGUCUAGUCUACAAAAUUGAAAGCAAGAGGGCCAGUACAUAAGGCACUGUACCCUAGUUGCUAAAGCUGCUCCCUCCCUGUGAGGCUCUGGGGAAACAAUGGCGGUACUGCCAUAGACAUUAUGAACUGAAAGUGACCGGCCCAACACGGAAGCCAGGGUGCUCGCUGUUGCCACGGGAGGUUAUGGGUAGGCAAGAGAAGGUCAACAUCAACGGUGAUGGCAGCUCAUGCUGUGAUGUAUCAGACAGAUGCUAGGUCAUGUAACAUACUCUAGGUAGAUAUUCCUGAUGUGAUGAAAAUAACAUUUUGCCCUGUGGCCUUCCUCUUCGAAAUCCAUAAACCUUGACUAAUUAUAGAAAACUAUCAGACAAAUCCAAAUUAAGAGACAUUCUACAAAAAAACCUGAUCAAUAUGCCUCAAAAUGAUCAAGGUCAUCAAAAACAAGGAAAGGCUGAGAGACUGUCAAGCCAAGAGGAGCCUACGAAAACAGGGUAACAAAUGUCAUGUGGUGUCCUGGAUCAGAACCCAGGGAGAAGAGAGAAAACUGGUGUGUGAACACCGGUUCACUAAUCCUGACACAGUUCUUCAAGGAGACUCUGGUAACGAUCUGCCUAUAGAACAGUACAAUUCAACAACAGUUAAAAGAGAAUAUAUUAAAGCUGACUUUUCACAACCUCAGUGAGAACACCAACAAAUGAUCUCUAAGGAAUCAAAUUAUUUAUUGUUUAUUAUUCACAAGUUAUUAAAUUCAUUAAGAAAUUA